UACGUAGGGUGCGAGCGUUGUCCGGAAUUAUUGGGUGUAAAGAGCUCGUAGGCGGUCUGUCGCGUCGAUCGUGAAAACUUGGGGCUUAACCCUGAGCUUGCGGUCGAUACGGGCAUGACUGGAGUUCGGCAGGGGAGACUGGAAUUCCUGGUGUAGCGGUGAAAUGCGCAGAUAUCAAGGAGGAACACCGGUGGCGAAGGCGGGUCUCUGGGCCGAUACUGACGCUGAGGAGCGAAAGCGUGGGGAGCGAACAGGA
rnacentral:rRNA from 1 species